rnacentral:rRNA from 1 species
UAUUGGACAAUGGGGGCAACCCUGAUCCAGCCAUGCCGCGUGUGUGAAGAAGGCCUUGUGGUUGUAAAGCACUUUAAGCUUUGAAGAAGACUCCGUGGUUAAUACCCACGGACGAUGACAUUAGCUGCAGAAUAAGCACCGGCUAACUCUGUGCCAGCAGCCGCGGUAAUACAGAGGGUGCAAGCGUUAAUCGGAAUUACUGGGCGUAAAGCGAGCGUAGGUGGCUUGAUAAGUCAGAUGUGAAAUCCCCGGGCUUAACCUGGGAACUGCAUCUGAUACUGUUAGGCUGGAAUAGGUGAAAGGAAGGUAGAAUUCCAGGUGUAGCGGUGAAAUGCGUAGAGAUCUGGAGGAAUACCGAUGGCGAAGGCAGCCUUCUGGCAUCGUAUUGACACUGAGGUUCGAAAGCGUGGGUGGCAAACAG